rnacentral:rRNA from 1 species
GGAGAAAUUCAAUAUCGUCCUUAACAGACGAUGUGCACUUUUCUCCCAGUAAGACGCUGUGAUCCAUUAGAAAUCGGACCAUGCCAAUGGUUAGUGGGCUAUCAAAAGGCUGACAUGAAGUUCGGUGGUGCAAAUGGCGCGAUCAUAUACGGUUGUGUGUAUUGCCCAUUGAGCAUGUUGUGUCCUGAAAUAGCUGUCUGAUGGAUUUUAAAGGUCAUAUUACUGAUGGUUCGCCAUCACCCAUUACGAUGGGAGUGGAUAUGUGCCCGAUCAACAGCGGUUAAAUUUGUGAUACCUUUGGGACCCGUCUUGAAACACGGACCAAGGAGUCUAUCUAGUAUGCAAGUAAAUGGGUAUAUGAAACCUAUUUGCAGAAAAAACUUGACUUUUCAUGGGAUUACGAGUCUUUCWCAAGGCUCCUCCAUCCCGGGGUAUUUUCAUCAACAUAUGCAGCAAUGUAUAUGGAAAAUAUACCAUGAGCGUACUGGAUACGACCCGAAAGAUGGUGAACUAUGCCUGAUCAGGUUGAAGUCAGGGGAAACCCUGAUGGAGGACCGUAGUUGUUCUGACGUGCAAAUCGAUAACGCGAGUUGGGCAUAGGGGCGAAAGACCAAUCGAACCAUCUAGUA